UACGUAGGGGGCAAGCGUUGUCCGGAAUCAUUGGGCGUAAAGCGCGUGUAGGCGGCUCGGUAAGUCCGCUCUGAAAGUCCAGGGCUCAACCCUGGGAUGCGGGUGGAUACUGCCGGGCUUGAGUCCGGAAGAGGCGAGUGGAAUUCCCAGUGUAGCAGUGAAAUGCGUAGAGAUUGGGAGGAACACCAGUGGCGAAGGCGGCGACCUGGACAGUAACUGACGCUGAGGCGCGAAAGCUGGGGGAGCAAACGGG
rnacentral:rRNA from 1 species